GUGAAUCAUCGAAUCUUUGAACGCAAAUUGCACUCUCCUCGGAGAGCAUGCCUGUUUGAGGGUCAGCCUAUAAAAAAUCGAGGCGUCGCUCUUUUUUUGAGGGUGAUCGCGUCGGAAUUGAGCCGUCUUUCAAAUGUUAAUUCAUGUCAAAGUGGCUUAAAAUUCAUUCAUCCGGUACGAUUAAAACGUAUUUAAGAUCAAUUUUGUUCAAGAACGCGCGAUGACGUACCAUCUCAUGUAGUACGUUUGACUUGGCGUCGUCAGGAUCAUUCGUAUACGAUACUCAAACUUUUGACCUCAA
rnacentral:misc_RNA from 1 species